GUUCCUGUGAGCUUCUACACCAGCUCUGCUGUAUCACAACCUCUUCACAGAGAUGGCCUGAGACCUCUGAGGUCCAUAGGCUCCAUCAGAACCAGGUUAGAAAAACUUGGUGAGACUCCUUCAUCGGUGCCGUUAAAAAACCUGCCUAAGCCCAUGAAGCAGUUCUCCAUGUGCAAAGAAGGAAUGCUUUAAUCCGAAGUGAUCACUUUGAUACCGAAAGAGACACAUUUGGAGGCUACUUGGCGACGGGGAAUUAAAGACAAAGAAGCUGAAUAAAUAGCAAGC